rnacentral:lncRNA from 1 species
UUUCUUUUAGAAGACAUUGAAUUUUACAUUGAACUGCAUAAUCUCUUAAUUUGCUAUCCUUUUGCCCUUAGGAAAGUGAUGCAAAAAAUUGAUGCAUUUGAUCCUGUGAGAGGUUUUCAGAAUGGAGAAGAAAACAAUCAAAUUUCCAAGGAAGAUAUCUUUGGAAAACUCACUCUAUUGGCAAGAAUAUACUGUGGAAUAUGUCAUCAUGGGUAUUCCACACCCAUAUUCCCCUUCUCCAUUUCCCACUUUACAUAUGAAGAACCUGAGAUAUCUGAAAACCUCCUCCUAACAACAAGUAUUUGUAUGAAAAAAAUUAGGAACUUGAUAUUUAGCUUGUUGAAGUCUGGUGGGAAAUGCAAGAAGAUGAAGCAAUAUCUCACAGCUGUGGAAAGAGGAUCACAGGUGUACCUACGUGAUGUCUCAACCUUUUAAAUAAGAAAAAUAAUAUGCUGUGCAUGAAAUAUUGGAACUUGAAUAUUACAGGUAAUUAAAUGUAUAUGUGCGUCUGUUCAUUCAAAAUUUGAUGUAAUUUGUUUUGUAUUUCCAUUUGCUUAAAACAGUUCCUGCUUUCUGUAUGUACUCCUUUAAAACGUGU